GACGAACGCUGGCGGCGUGCCUAACACAUGCAAGUCGAGCGAAGUGAGUACUACGGUACGAACUUAGCGGCGGACGGGUGAGUAACGCGUGGACAAUCUACCCUGUAGACUGGGAUAACACCUCGAAAGGGGUGCUAAUACCGGAUAUGUCGAGAAGCGGCAUCGCUUUUCGAAGAAAGGAGAGAAUCCGCUAUAGGAGGAGUCCGCGUCCCAUUAGCUAGUUGGUGAGGGUAACGGCCCACAAAGGCGACGAUGGGUAGCCGGACUGAGAGGGUGAACGGCCACACUGGAACUGAGGCACGUUCCAGACUCCUACGGGAGGCAGCAGUGGGGAAUAUUGUGCAAUGGAGGAAACCCUGACACAGCAUCGCCGCGUGGGCGAAGUAGGCCUUCGGGUUGUAAAGCUCAAUCGUAUGGGAAGAUAAUGACGGUACCAUACGAAAGCCCCGGCUAACUACGUGCCAGCCGCCGCGGUAACAC
rnacentral:rRNA from 1 species